CAAUAGCGUAUAUUAACGUUGUUGCAGUUAAAAAGCUCGUAGUUGGAUUUCUGGAGGGAGCGUCGGCCCGUAUUUACGAGUGCGUGACGUCUCUGUCCAUCCUUGCGGGAAGGCACGGCAUUGAUUUGUUGUGUCGGAUCGCAUCAUUUACUGUGAAAAAAUUAGAGUGUUCAAAGCAGGCUUUCGCUUGAAUACAUUAGCAUGGAAUAAUAAGAUAGGACUUUGGUGCUAUUUUGUUGGUUGAGCCUAAAGUAAUGAUUAAUAGGGAUAGUUGGGGGCACCUGUAUUGCGUUGUCAGAGGUGAAAUUCUUGGAUUUACGAAAGACAAACAGCUGCGAANGNGUCUGGNAAGGAUGUUUNCAUUA
rnacentral:rRNA from 1 species